CGGGGCGAGAGCAGAUGGACGUGCGUGUCCACGGCGCCCGCGGUGGCGAUGAGGCCCUCACCGGAGACGAUCGAGGUGCCGGUGCCCACGACGACGUCCACACCGUCGACCGUGUCGGGGUUGCCGGCCCGGCCGAUGGCGUGGAUGCGGCCUUCGCGGAUGCCGAUGGACGCCUUGCGGAUGCCCUGGACCGCGUCGAUCAGCACGACGUUGCUGAUGACCACGUCGCAGGU
rnacentral:sRNA from 1 species